rnacentral:rRNA from 1 species
GUCUUAGUGGCGGACGGGUGAGUAACGCGUGGGCAACCUGCCUCGCACCGUGGGAUAACAGGGGGAAGCUCCUGCUAAUACCGCAUAAAGUAUAUAGACGCAUGUCAAUAUACAAAAAGGGAUACCGGUGAGAGAUGGGCCCGCGUCCGAUUAGAUAGUUGGCAGGAUAGCAGCCUACCAAGUCAACGAUCGGUAGCCGGCUUGAGAGAGUGGACGGCCACACUGGGACUGAGACACGGCCCAGACUCC